UUUACUUUGGUCCCUAUUCCUUUUUCCAAUUUGACAGUAUAAAAUGAAGCUUUCUUCCUCAACCACUGAUAUAGUGUUGUUGUAAACUAGCAGAGCCGUCAAGGUGCUUAGGGUUUAUACAUUUUGCAUAAUUCGUAGUGUUCAUCAUUUCAUUUUCUUCAAAUUUAAUUUCAAAACUGUGAAUCGUGAGUGAUGAAGUUUAGGGGUGAAGCAUAUAGGGGAGAGCAGUAUUAAUCUGUGGCUCUGAAAUACCCGUAGGUUCUCUAUGGGGUGCCCUGUCUUUCAUGCCCUUUACAUCAAAUAUAUGGCAUCAUAGUACGGAUUUUGUGCUUUUAAUCACUUUUCCGCCUCCAAACGCCAUUACAUCAUAAUCAUACACUUCAUCACUCUUCAUUUUGUUCUGAUACAUAUCAAUUUUGUAGCAAUAAUAAGGGGUUUUGUUGUUUUAAACUUGGGUUGUUAAGAAAGUGAUGAUUAAAGCGCAGGUACUUCUGAGAUAUAGUUGGUUUUCGACAGAUCUAGUGUUAGUUCUCUUGGUGCAGCAUACUAUACUAGUGUUGCUGUGCCGGGCUUCUGGAUCGAGUCUGCAUGAUUAUAUUAUUAACUGCUUACUGAUUUUUUUUGACUUUCAAAGUAAUUGGUUAUACCGUAAAAUCUAGUUCUACUAUAAUUGUUGCUUUUGAUGUGCAUUUAAACAAAGUGUUUAUUUGUAAUUUUGUUAAGAUGAUUUGUGUAUUUUUGGGGCACUAAGGUUGUUUAUUUACAGGAUGUUAUUACCCUAGAGCAGUUACCUUUGGUAAUUUUGUCUUCCCGAUUUUGUUUUUGUUUGUGUUAACACCAAAAAUCAUUAUGUAUGGAGAGAGAGAGAAUGAGAGGGACUAUGGAUGUUCGUUGUGCAGGCUAUAACUUAUCCGAAUCGCAAGAGACUAUUGAAAAUGCAAAAGGUAACAUAUGGCGUGUUUCAAUCGGCUAAGUUCACAGUUGCGAAGAGAAAAGGGAAGUUUUUGAAGAAGUGGAGACUGAGAGCACAAAUAAUAUAAACCAUACAUUCAUCCCGUCCCACAUUGAUUGUUUCAUUAAUAUUAAGUGAUUAUAUAAUUCACCAUGGUUUUAAAUUAUUUAUUUCAUAUGUAAGUAAAAAAUGCAAUGGUAACAUUUAGAACCGCAAUUUAAACA